rnacentral:rRNA from 1 species
UACGUAGGUGGCAAGCGUUGUCCGGAAUUAUUGGGCGUAAAGCGCGCGCAGGCGGUCCUUUAAGUCUGAUGUGAAAGCCCUCGGCUCAACCGAGGAGGGUCAUUGGAAACUGGAGGACUUGAGUGCAGAAGAGGAAAGUGGAAUUCCAAGUGUAAGCGGUGAAAUGCGUAGAGAUUUGGAGGAACACCAGUGGCGAAGGCGACUUUCUGGUCUGUAACUGACGCUGAGGCGCGAAAGCGUGGGGAGCAAACAGGA